rnacentral:rRNA from 1 species
UCAGGAUGAACGCUGGCGGCGUGCUUAACACAUGCAAGUCGAACGGAGUUUUAACGGAAGUUUCGGAUGGAAGUUUAGAACUUAGUGGCGGACGGGUGAGUAACGCGUGGGUAACCUGCCUCAUACAGGGGGAUAACAGUUAGAAAUGACUGCUAACACCGCAUAAUAUAGCGAAACCGCAUGAUUUUUGCUAUCAAAUAUUUAUAGGUAUGAGAUGGGCCCGCGUCUGAUUAGCUAGUUGGUGGGGUAAAGCCUACCAAGGCGACGAUCAGUAGCCGGCUUGAGAGAGUGACCGGCCACAUUGGGACUGAGACACGGCCCAAACUCCUACGGGAGGCAGCAGUGGGGAAUAUUGGACAAUGGGGGAAACCCUGAUCCAGCGAACCGCCGCGUGAGUGAAGAAGUAUUUCGGUAUGUAAAGCUCUAUCAGCAGGGAAGAUAAUGACAGUACCUGACUAAGAAGCCCCGGCUAACUACGUGCCAGCCGCAGC